rnacentral:misc_RNA from 1 species
UUUCCGUAGGUGAACCUGCGGAAGGAUCAUUAACACGAAACAAAAAACGUAAUUCCUGUUACGUUUUUUUAUCAACCAAACCGUGCUCUUGUGGGCUGGAGAAAUGCGAACAAAAGGUUGACACCUGGAAGAGAUUAACGAGCAUUGGUUCGGCGAUUGUAGAAAAUGGCUCUUUCGGGGGCUUGCUUCUCUCGUUGGUCCUUGGCCUUUUUUCUCGACUUGUGAGCCCCUGAUGUUUUCUUCUCCAACUGAAGCCCUAUUUUUUUUUCUCAAACCCCAUAACAACAUUUCUACUGAUAUAAUAAUUGUCUGAAAAGACUUUUAUUCAAACUCUGUACAACUCUUAGCAAUGGAUAUCUCGGCUCUC